rnacentral:rRNA from 1 species
GGAAAAGAAACCAACAGGGAUUGCCCCAGUAACGGCGAGUGAAGCGCAAAGCUCAAAUUUGAAAUCUGGCCCCAGGCCCGAGUUGUAAUUUGCAGAGGAUGCUUUUGGCGCGGUGCCUUCCGAGUUCCCUGGAACGGGACGCCAUAGAGGGUGAGAGCCCCGUACGGUUGGACACCAAGCCUUUGUAAAGCUCCUUCGACGAGUCGAGUAGUUUGGGAAUGCUGCUCUAAAUGGGAGGUAAAUUUCUUCUAAAGCUAAAUACCGGCCAGAGACCGAUAGCGCACAAGUAGAGUGAUCGAAAGAUGAAAAGCACUUUGAAAAGAGGGUUAAAUAGCACGUGAAAUUGUCAAAGGGGAAGGGUUUAUGACCAGACUUGUGCCUGGCGGAUCAUCCGGUGUUCUCACCGGUGCACUUCGCCUGGUAUAGGCCAGCAUCGGUUUCCGUAGGGGGAUAAAGGCUUUGGGAACGUAGCUCUCUCCGGGGAGUGUUAUAGCCCAUUGUGUAAUACCCUUGUGGGGCGGAGCGCUUCGGCUAGGAUGCUGGCAUAAUGGUUAUUAACCACCC